rnacentral:rRNA from 1 species
GAGGUCGGACGUUCGAGUCGUCCCAGGCCCACCACUGAUCCAGAAGGUUGGGCGUCGAUCUGAAGCUCUUGUUGUGCUGAGCGUGCUCUUAGGGGCCAUAGCUCAGUUGGGAGAGCGCGUGCUUUGCAAGCAUGAGGUCGUCGGUUCGAUCCCGUCUGGCUCCACCAUUUCCUGCAUUCCGAUGAGGGAUGCGGUCGAGAUGGUCGGUGGUGAAGCGCUUCAAGCGUGAGAGAAGAACAUCCGGUUCUUUUCUCUUCUGUCCGCACAAUCUGUUUCGCUGAUCCUCAGCAAGCCCCCAUGUGGGCGAGGAUGAGCGCUGCUGUCUGACAUUGUGAAUCUGGGCGUUUUCGAUUUGCUGGCCGCAAGGCUGGCGGGUCGUGACAAUCAAGCUUUCGGGCUUGAGAGGACACGAUCAUCGGGUGCUGACCGCACCGGUGUCGAAAAUGUCGAAGCUGGUCUUUAGCGUCCAGCCCUCUCGCUGAUCCGCCUGGUGCGGAUUGAUGAGAACCUCAGCCGAGGAGUGGGCAUGGACGAUGAGAACGAUCAAGUGUCUUAAGGGCAUUCGGUGGAUGCCUUGGCGCUAAGAGGCGAAGAAGGACGUGGUACGCUGCGAUAUGCUUCGGGGAGCUGCGAAC